AAAACUAAUUAUAUCAUCAGGAAAAGGGAAACAAAAUGUGAAUAUCAAUUCUGAUAUUCUCACAUUUCUUUCUGAUGUUGAUAAAAUAAAGGACUUGAAUUAGUGCAAGUAUAUCGUUGAUUCACUUGUGAAGGCCAAGCUUUUCUGGGAAGAACGUCAAACUCGUUCUUUUCCUGGGUCUUUACUGUUUCUUAUGGUAUUACUUUAAUUUUUGUUUUUUUUAAUGUAAUAUUUCUUACUUAUUUGUUGCUUUUUAAUUUACUAAUUAUUUUUUCUUACUUGUUUGUAGUUAUGUAUUAAUUGUUAUUUGUUUUAUUUUAAUGUACUAAUUUUUUCUAUCUUACUUGUUUGUAGCUUUUAUAUGUUGAUCAGUUUGUCAUUGAGGAAGUUAGAGCCAAACGAGAAACUCCUGUUCUCAAAGGUUGGACAACCAAUAUGUUGUCAAGUCGUGAUAAAUUGGAAAUUUUUAAAGGGAGGCUUGGACUUUUUGAUAAAAAUCAGAAGCUUGUUGGUCCUUCUGGCAGCAUACAACCAAAAAUGGAACAAUCUGAUCCAAUUCAUACAAAAAAUGAAGAAAUUGAACAAGAUCCAAA